GUCCAGGGAGAACUAGCAUGGUUCAGUAGUGGUAGUAGGGGUGUGUCUAGGGAGAACUAGCAUGGUUCAGUAGGUGUAGUGGGGGUGUGUCCAGGGAGAACUAGCAUGGUUCAGUAGGUGUAGUGGGGGUGUGUCCAGGGAGAACUAGCAUGGUUCAGUAGGGGUGUGUCCAGGGAGAACUAGCAUGGUUCAGUAGGUGUAGUGGGGGUGUGUCCAGGGAGAACUAGCAUGGUUCAGUAGGGGUGUGUCCAGGGAGAACUAGCAUGGUUCAGUAGGGGUAGUAGGGGUGUGUCCAGGGAGAACUAGCAUGGUUCAGUAGUGGUAGUAGGGGUGUGUCUAAAGGAGAACUAGCAUGGUUCAGUAGGUGUAGUGGGGGUGUGUCCAGGGAGAACUAGCAUGGUUCAGUAGGGGUGUGUCCAGGGAGAACUAGCAUGGUUCAGUAGGUGUAGUGGGGGUGUGUCCAGGGAGAACUAACAUGGUUCAGUAGGGGUGUGUCCAGGGAGAACUAGCAUGGUUCAGUAGGGGUAGUAGGGGCGUGUCCAGGGAGAACUAGCAUGGUUCAGUAGUGGUGUGUCCAGGGAGAACUAGCAUGGUUCAGUAGGGGUGUGUCCAGGGAGAACUAGCAUGGUUCAGUAGUGGUGUGUCCAGGGAGAACUAGCAUGGUUCAGUAGGGGUGUGUCCAGGGAGAACUAGCAUGGUUCAGUAGGGGUGUGUCCAGGGAGAACUAGCAUGGUUCAGUAGGGGUGUGUCCAGGGAGAACUAGCAUGGUUCAGUAGGGGUGUGUCCAGGGAGAACUAGCAUGGUUCAGUAGGGGUGUGUCCAGGGAGAACUAGCAUGGUUCAGUAGGGGUGUGUCCAGGGAGAACUAGCAUGGUUCAGUAGUGGUAGUAGG